UACGGGGGGAGCAAGCGUUGUUCGGAUUUACUGGGCGUAAAGGGCGCGUAGGCGGUCGUGACAAGUCACUUGUGAAAUCUCCGGGCUUAACUCGGAACGGUCAAGUGAUACUGUCGGACUAGAGUACAGAAGGGGCAACUGGAAUUCUCGGUGUAGCGGUGAAAUGCGUAGAUAUCUGGAGGAACACCGGUGGCGAAGGCGGCAUCCUGGACCAACACUGACACUGAUGAGCGAAAGCCAGGGGAGCAAACGGG
rnacentral:rRNA from 1 species